UGAGCUCCUCCUCACCUCCAUAGACGAGGAACAUAUCUUUAGUCCUUCUCAAGUACUUAAGAAUGUUUUUCACCGCUGUCCAGUGACUCUCACCCGGAUUAGACUAGUGUCUGCGUGUCAAUCCUCACAACAACAAAAUCAAAAUCAUAACAGGCAGCCUCAGUAGCAGCAGCCACCAAAUUUUGGCAGUGGACAGAGAAGCGAUUAUGCCAGAAGAGGAAGAGGCUGAGGCAGAGGGCCUACGAGGCCGCAUAACCUCAACAACUAACCUCGAAUGUUCUACUGCACCUUCCAUUGUAAGCAACUAGACCACGCAACUGACUUUUGUCCAGAAACCAAAAAGACCUUCGAAAGAAUAGCUAAAGAGAAAAAAGCUGCUGCAGUACCAAAAACCAUCAACCAUUUUUUCUAGCCACAACAGCCAUACUUCCCAAACACUAACCUCGCAAACUUCCAACCCACCAUGACGUGCCAACAUUCACCACAAUUCCAGCCUCAAACUCAGCAAGCCUCACAAACCGCGAGCUUUAUGCCCUCCCAACCUCUACAUGAGAUACCACUACCUCCACCAAACCUACCCAACCAAAUUCCUAAAGCCGAACCUAACAACGCACAAAACAACAACCCCAAAGCUUUACCCACUUAUGGCAUGAUAAUGCUAAUAUCAGAAGGAUUCUCGCAACUUGAACAC
rnacentral:lncRNA from 1 species